rnacentral:pre_miRNA from 1 species
UGACAGAAGAGAGUGAGCACACGCAGGCAAUUGUAUAUGGAGUAUGCCUUUGUGGAUGCGUGUGCUCACUUCUUUUCUGUCA